rnacentral:tRNA from 1 species
GCCUUCGUGGUGUAGUGGUCAGCACGCUGGGCGCGUAUUCCAGAGGUCUGUGGUUCGACUCCCUGUGAAGGCG